UGAAUUGCUAGAAUAAUUUCACUAAAAUUGGAAGGUACAGAAAAGAUUAGCAUAGUCCCUAUGCAAUACUGACAUGCAAAUUUAUAAAACAUACCACAUUUUU